rnacentral:rRNA from 1 species
ACGGAAUAGAUACCCCGGGGUAGUCCACGCCCUAAACGAUGUCUACUAGUUGUCGGGGAUUCAUUUCCUUGGUAAACGCAGCUAAACGCGUGAAAGUAGACCGCCUGGGGAGUACGGCCGCAAGGUUAAAACUCAAAGGAAUUGACGGGGACCCGCACAAGCGGUGGAUGAUGUGGAUUAAUUCGAUGCAACGCGAAAAACCUUACCUACGCUUGACAUGCCAGGAACUUUCCAGAGAUGGAUUGGUGCCCGAAAGGGAACCUGGACACAGGUGCUGCAUGGCUGUCGUCAGCUCGUGUCGUGAGAUGUUGGGUUAAGUCCCGCAACGAGCGCAACCCUUAUCCUUAGUUGCUACGCAAGGGUCACUCUAGGGAGACUGCCGGUGACAAACCGGAGGAAGGUGGGGAUGACGUCAAGUCCUCAUGGCCCUUAUGUGUAGGGCUUC